CCACAUUCACUGCACCUGUAAGAUUUCUCUUCAUUAUUGAUUCUCUGGGGUGGAAUAAGUGUUAACUUAAGGCUGAAGAAGGCUUUCCCACACUCACUGCAUUGAUGAGGUCUUUCUCCAGUGAGAACUCUCUGAUGCAGGUUAAGGGUAGAGCUUUGGAUAAAACAUUUACUACAAUGGAUGCACUCAUAUGGCUGUUCACCCAUGUGAAAUCUUUGAUGGGAAAUAAGGCCAGCUGUUCCUGUGCUGUGGAUGUCAUGAUGCUCAACAAGUCUGCACUUCCUGCUGAAGGCUCUUCCACACUCACUACACUUAUGAACCUUUUAUUCCGUGUGAACUCGCUGAUGUUGAACAAUUCCGUGUUGUGUCUAAAGGCUUUCCCAUGUUGGUUGCAUGUAUAAAGCCUGGGAGUGAUGUGGAUUCUUCAGAGUACAGCAAGGUCAGAAUUGUGGUUAGGGCAUUCCCCAAAGUCACUGUCACACUGGUACAUUGUUUAUAACUCUCUAGUGGACAAUAAGGCCAGAAGGUUGCCUACAGAACUUCCCACACUUGGUGAACUAAUAACGCUUCCUCCCUUGCGGACUCUCAUGCUGAAGAAACUCUCACCUGGUCUGGUUCUUCAGUUGCUGGUGCUAGCACCAGAGACAAUUGGAGGUCCCACCUAGAACCCGGAAAUCAGAGCUAUCCUGAGGGACCAGUCCUGAAGAUUGUGGCCACAAGACAAGGAAGAGGGCACUGGGGUUGACAGUCCAACUCAAAAGGAUCUGAGUCCACUGAUAAGGAGGAUGAGGAUGAGGAUCAUUUUGAGGAAGAAAAGGAAUUGGAAGAGGAAAUUAAAGAUUUACAAAUGCAGUUAAGGGAGAUGGGAAUGAAGGAAAAACUUAAGAGCAUCAAAAAUAAACCUUGCCCCCUGCCUGCAUCUGUGCCCCCCCAGCUUAUGAGAAUUAUACUACUUGUGUUCCUGAUUCUAAUGCUUCAUCUCCCAAAGGGGUAGUUUUUGGAAAGUCAUUGGGUUUCCCUGUUAUAAGUCCCUGACCCUAAUAAUCCACAACAGGUCAUGCUGCAGCAUGUAGCCCUUAAAUUUAAGGAGCGUAAACAAUUGAAAGAGGCUGUCUACAGUUAUGGCCCUUUGGCUCCAUUCACAAUAGCUAUGACAGAGUCUUUCUCACCAUUUAGUCUUACCAGAGAGAUUGGCAAUAGCUUGCUAGAGCAAUGCUUAAUGGAGGAGAUUUUUGUUAGGUCGAGGGGAAUUUUAGGGGGCAUGCAUCAUUAUGGCUAAUAUGAACACACAGGCAGGUUUUCUUCAAAGAAAUGUUGAUAUGUGAAAGCACCAUGAACUCUAAAUUUUCACUAUCUUUUUCUUGUAAAGAUAUACAGAGGAAAUAAUCAUUUAAGUCAGAAUCUGUGAUGGGCCACUGUGUAGGUAACAGAGGCUGCAAAGACAUUCCAGGCUGUGCAGAGCCCAUCACCUGAUUUACUUUAUUUGUGUCUCUCAUCUCUGUCAACAUUCUCCAUUUUACAGAUUUCCUUUCAAUAAUAAAUACAGGAGAUUCCACGG